CGAGUACACUGGAAGCUGCUGCUGCUGCAAUGUGUUCAUCAGCAUCACUUUACAACCCACUCCUGGUGCGGUUCUCCCCUCUCCCCGCACACGCGUUGACUCAGACGCGCGUCGACCACGCCGCUCCUCUUCUUCGCCCUUUCGGUACCGCGACCGGCGUGAGGUGUUAAUUAACCCGCCCGACAAAAAGAACCCUUGCCGACGACGUGUAUGGGACACCGCCUCUACAUUUCGCACUUCAAAUCACACCUCGACACACCUAGGCCCGCCUGAGGGGGCUUCCCCGCGCAAGACACUCCGUUUUAAUGUUUAUCGAUUUUUCCGAGACCCCGUGCACACGUUUCAAGGGGUAUCGCGCGCGCGUGUGUGUCGGCCCUCACUUCACAAAUGCAACAUACGGAUUUCACAAAUGCACCUACCUCCUUUGAUUCAUCUCGCAAGCACCGGGAUCCGCGGCUUCCAGAGGUUUGCACCCGACUGUACAGCAGUGUGUGUAGUUUCUUUUUUCAACAUUCGACUCUGACCUUGGCAUCGGCACACACAUUGAGCCAGGGCAUUGAUUAGCUAUUUCCUCCUGGCCUUUUGCAACCGUGCCGUGCUUAUCCGCUUGAAUGGAUCAGCUACAGCGAACCGAUCACCUUCGCGAUCGUCAUCGAUCGUUUUAAAAUGCUUCCAAAACAAGUAAAUUUCCUCUGCCGUGCCGUAAAACCGA